rnacentral:lncRNA from 1 species
GCCAGAUAUCAUAUUAUAAAAAUCAAAUACAAACUUCAUUUAUACAACUGUUGAACUGUCGUGCAGAAUACGACCACAGUUAAACUGUGAGUUUAAAUACAAAUGUAUGUAACUCUCAUGGUGCCUCGACCACAACCUUACAAUGGUACUUUACAUAAAAGUACAGUCAAAAACUGUUUUAGAAAUUAAAAUCUUUGGGAAGUGCUCAAGGAAUCCAUCGUACAUGGGAGGCCAUGCGUCUAGGUUAUGAUAGAUAUCAUAUGUCCACAGAAUUAUCCUAGUUUGACCCAAUAGACCCCAAAGAAAAACGAGAAGAUUACUAUCAGGUUCUUUCCAAUGAUGAGUCUUCUCUUGACAUAUA